rnacentral:rRNA from 1 species
AGUGGGGAAUUUUGGACAAUGGGCGCAAGCCUGAUCCAGCCAUGCCGCGUGCAGGAUGAAGGCCUUCGGGUUGUAAACUGCUUUUGUACGGAACGAAAAGGUUUGACUUAAUACGUUGGACUCAUGACGGUACCGUAAGAAUAAGCACCGGCUAACUACGUGCCAGCAGCCGCGGUAAUACGUAGGGUGCGAGCGUUAAUCGGAAUUACUGGGCGUAAAGCGUGCGCAGGCGGUUAUGUAAGACAGAUGUGAAAUCCCCGGGCUCAACCUGGGAACUGCAUUAGUGACUGCAUAGCUGGAGUACGGCAGAGGGGGAUGGAAUUCCGCGUGUAGCAGUGAAAUGCGUAGAUAUGCGGAGGAACACCGAUGGCGAAGGCAAUCCCCCGGGCCUGUACUGACGCUCAUGCACGAAAGCGUGGGGAGCAAACAGGAUUAGAUACCCUGGUAGUCCACGCCCUAAACGAUGUCAACUGGUUGUUGGGUCUUCACUGACUCAGUAACGAAGCUAACGCGUGAAGUUGACCGCCUGGGGAGUACGGCCGCAAGGUUG